AAUUUAGUUUCGCGCGACUCCACUCACCCUGAAAUGCUUCUUCAUCAUUUAUUGUAAUUUAUAUAUCAAGUGUGCUAUUAGAAUGGUAAGAAAAUAAAUCACUGAUUACUGAUAGAAUAAACGUUUUCCGCUUUUUUUUUUAAAUAUGUACUUGUACGUAGUGGCAAGUAUCGGCUAUUUGGCCUCGUAGUGAAAGAGAGGGAUAGAUUUAUUAUUUCGUCAACCAGAAAACAAGAAAUGGUACAGUAAAUAUAUACAAUACAAAGUGCAAUCAGUAUGCACUCCUUACUACAUUGCUUAUAUAUGAUAGUCAUUUAUACCAAGUUUGGUCAUCAUCGAUUUCCGUCUUUCAUCUCAGUUGAAGGUCGCGAUCGACCAAUCGAUAUUAAUCUGUUAUAAACAGUUUUUUUAACGGAUGAGUUGGGUGAUAUUAGUUUAUUCACCUACGCUUGAUGUAUUCAAGCUAAAUGAACGAAAACGGAUAAGAUCAUUAGGUUCACUCCUUCUCCAAUCAAAUAAAAAAUUAAAAUACGAGUUAGAAUAAAUGGAGAAGCGCUCUUUUUCAUUGUAACACGGAAUGGCAAAAUUGAAUAGGUUGGGAAUACGCUUGCCGCCACAGCUCUGAUUACUCUGCGUGGGUUCGCAGUUUCGAAUCCCAUGCGGGGAUAGUUAUGUGCGAGAGAAUUGCUGAACCCGCGGAUAUACCGGUGCAAAUGUAUAGGUUCAAAUGUACGUGAGUUCAUAUGUAAAGCCACCUCUCCAGUCCAGGGUCGAAUAUCUGCAUCAUAGUUAGUGUCGGAUUGAAAGUUGAUUCAUGUGAGAAUUGUUACUUUUUCGUGCUACUUUUUUGCUACGGGAAAGUCAGACAUUUUUUGGCGAUACACCACUGUUCACUUUGGUCUUCGUAUCAAUAUAUUGGAAAAUCGCUCUAUUGUUUGCCAUUUAUUUAAUAUUGUAGAUUAACAUAUUGCGGUGUUAGUUAAUUAUUAGUUAAACAUAGGUUGAUAUAAGUCUGAUGCAUUUUAGAUGCACGUUGC